GGAGAGCCCGGGAUCAAAGGAAUCUGAAGAGAAAGGGGAGGCGGGCGGACGGCCGGGCUGGCCUUGCCCCCCGCGGGCCGCGCUGACCUGGGGUGGGGGCCGCGGGCGGGGACUUCGGGAUCUCCCGCCCGCCGGGGACCGGGCCUCCGCUGGCGCCUGCUUCGGGUGGUGCGGCCGGGAGGAGCUCCAGGCCCGGACAAUUGAAUUAGGCCCCCGAGCGCGGACUCCAAGGCUCCAAAGGAGGGACGCGGACACUGGGUCGUGGUGGCACCGAGAGGCCCAGAAGGCGAUCACUGGCCCGGCCUUGCGCAGGGAGAACGGAGCUGCACAGAGUCGGCGCGCGCAUACUCGGCCCGCUUCCCACGCACGCGGAUGAGAAGCUGCCCGGUUCGGGAGAAAUCGCUCUCGGGAAGGGUGGCAGGAGACCGGCGGGUCCGAGCCUUCGGGAAGGGGAGGUCACAGGUUAGACCAGAGCCAGCCCCGAGCGCGCGCACCCACCGGUGUCCCUGGCUCGGUGCAGGGCUCCGCUCGCCAACUGCACGUUUUCUGCGCUCAUUUGCAAUCCGUGUUCCUCAUUAUUUUCUUCCUUUGAUCUUGUUUUCCGAUCCAGAAAUCUUUUGUGAUUAUUAAAGUCCUAUUUAGAGCUUUU